rnacentral:hammerhead_ribozyme from 1 species
AUCUAAUUGACGACUCCCGAAAAGGACGAAACGCGCGUCCUGGAU